rnacentral:rRNA from 1 species
CGCCCUUACGGGAGGCAGCAGCAAGGCAUUUUCCCCAAUGGGCGCAAGCUGAGGGAGCAACGCCGCGUGGAGGACGACGGCCUUCGGGUUGUAAACUCCUUUCGGGUGGGACGACCGCGACGGUACCACCAGAAGCAGCCCCGGCUAACUCUGUGCCAGCAGCCGCGGUAAGACAGAGGGGGCAAGCGUUGUCCGGAGUUACUGGGCGUAAAGGGCGCGGAGGCGGUCUGCGGCGUCGGCGCUGAAAGCCCCGCUUAACGGGGCGAGGCGUGCCGAUACGCGCAGACUUGAGGCGAGCAGAGGGUGGUGGAAUUCCGGGUGGAGCGGUGAAAUGCGUAGAGAUCCGGGAGGAACGCCAGUUGGGAAGCCGGCCACCUGGGCUCGGCCUUACGGUGCGGCGCGACAGGUGGGGGAGCAAACCGGAUUAGAUACCCGGGUAGUCCACGCCGUAAACGAUGCCAGCUCGGCGUGUGGCGCACGGUCGUGCGCUGCGUGCCUUAGCUCACGCGAUAAGCUGGGCGCCUGGGGACUACGAGCGCAAGUUAAAACUCAAAGGAAUUGACGGGGGCCCGCACAAGCAGCGAGCG